rnacentral:rRNA from 1 species
AGAGUUUGAUCCUGGCUCAGGAUGAACGCUGGCGGCGUGCCUAACACAUGCAAGUCGAACGGGAAGGCAUCCUUCGGGAUGCUGGAGAGUGGCGCACGGGUGAGGAACACGUAGCUGAUCUGCCCCAAAGAGGGGGAUAACGCACCGAAAGGUGUGCUAAUACCCCAUAAGCUCCCGGGAGUUAGAGCGCUGGGAGAAAAGGCUGAGGCGCUUUGGGAUGAGGCUGCGGCCCAUCAGCUAGUAGGUGAGGUAACGGCUCACCUAGGCAACGACGGGUAGGGGACCUGAGAGGGUGACCCCCCACACUGGGACUGAGACACGGCCCAGACUCCUACGGGAGGCAGCAGUGAGGAAUAUUGCGCAAUGGACGGAAGUCUGACGCAGCAACGCCGCGUGGGUGAAGAAGGUUUUCGGAUCGUAAAGCCCUUUUCUGGGUGACGAGGAAGGACGGUAACCCAGGAAAAAGUGUCGGCUAACUACGUGCCAGCAGCCGCGGUAAAACGUAGGACGCAAGCGUUAUCCGGAAUUACUGGGCGUAAAGCGCGCGCAGGCGGGGCAUUAAGUCAUGUGUGAAAGCUCCCGGCUAAACUGGGAGAGAGCGGAUGAAACUGGUGCUCUGGAGGGUGGUAGAGGUGUGUGGAAUUCCGCGUGUAGUGGUGAAAUGCGUAGAGAUGCGGAGGAACACCA